GAAAGGCAAAAUGAGGGUCUGACUGUCUCUUAUAAUAAAUCAAUGAAACUGAUCUUCUAGUAAAAAAGCUAGAAUAUACCCAUAAGACCAGAAGACCCUGUGAAGCUUAAACUAAACUAUUAAAACACAUAAUAACUAAUUUCGGUUGGGGCGACCUUGGAAAAAAAAAGAACUUCCAAACACUGAAUCUUACUUCAUCAACACAGGCCUACAAGCCAACAAACGACCCAGCAAAGCUGAAAAUUGAACAAAGUUACUCCAGGGAUAACAGCGCAAUCUUCCUCAAGAGCCCAUAUCAAAAGGAAGGUUUACGACCUCGAUGUUGGAUCAGGACAUCCUAACGGUGCAGCCGCUGUCAAGGGUUCGUUUGUUCAACGAUUAAAGUCCUACGUGAUCUGAGUUCAAAUCGACACA
rnacentral:rRNA from 1 species